rnacentral:lncRNA from 1 species
UACCCGCAGCAUAUGGAGGUUCCCAGACUAGGGGGUCUAAACUGAGCUAUAGAUGCUGACCUACAUCACAGCCACAGCAAGGCCAGAUCCGAGCCGCAUCUGCAACCUACAUCACAGCUCAUGGCAAUGCCAGAUCCUUAACCCACUGAGCAAGGCCAGGGAUCGAACCUGCAUCCUCAUGAAUACUAGUCGGGUUCGUUAACUGCUAAGCCACGAAGGUAAGUUUUAAAGUUUCCAUUCACUGUAAGUUUGCAUUUCCAAUCAGAGGCCACUGAAGUCAAAGAUACCCAGACAUGCUCCCUUGCAAGGCCAAGUUGCUGCGGUUGCUACUUCUUUGCAGUGACCUGGUAGAUGGUCACCUAUAUUAGCCAACUUCCCCUCAACCUGGGGCAGUGGGGCAGAAGAGGGCAAUACCUGGGCAUCUUGUGUCAGGAAGAAAAAGAACAAGUGAAAACAAAUCACGCAACCAUCUGGCACCGAGGGGGUGGGGGUGGCUUGUGAGGUCCUUAAACAUCUCCACCAGAAAGGGAAUUACAUUUGGAAUGCAACUGUUUCAGCUUCAAAAGAGUUGUUCUCCCAAAGUACUGACUGUAAACUAAACAAAUCAAUAGCCCAGGUAAGGUUUACCAAGCAGAGUGAUGCUUUCUUUUCAAAGUGUGAAUUUCCCAUCUGUCCACAAGCCAGAGUUCGGAGCAAUCUCCAUCUCUCCCAUCCAGUGUCACAUUCUGCGGGCUGUGCUUGCAGACCCCGGGACCACACCUCCUCCUGCUGUCUGCCUUUCUACAAACUAAACCCAGCUUGUCCCACAUUUUCAGGAACCCGGAAGCCUUCCACAAGAUCCUGCCACUUACUUGAUUAUGUGAUGCUAAGAACACAUAUCACCAUGGACACAAAUCUCUCCAGCUCUCUCCACUUCAAUCAACAUCACAUUUCUGUAUCCAAGGAAGCCACCCGGGGAUCCUGGCCCCCAGAAAAGAGAAUUAAGGCUGGUGCACAAGUCCCAAAAGCUGACUCCAGGGUGACUGAUGGCCAGAGCUCCCAGGGACCCUGAAGUCCUGCUAAGGGAGGAAAGUCCAUGAAGAGACGGACACACAGCCCCUCAUUGGCACAGAUCCCUAGCAAACUGUGCCCUGAGCUUAAACAAGGAUUCAGCAAUAUUUCUGUCUCCUGCUGCUUCUGAUAACUUGCAAAAAUUCUCCUACCCAACCUCAAGUAAGUAAUCGGAGUUUUUAGAAAAGCUGGUUUCAUGCAUCAUGUUGUCAGUAAGGACACCCCCAAUUCCACACACUCUGGGAUGAACUCACUCCAGAUGCAUAAGGUGAGACCACCCUCUGGUGUGGGUCCAAAGACAGGUCUCUGUCUGGAUGCCUUAGUCUGAAAGAGGUCAACUGGCUGUGUAAACACAAAUCUGUGAGCAUCUGCAAAGCACCCAUGGUUAACAAGGGCUCUGAGAUGGAGAAUUCAAAGAACAAGCCUUUGGAGCUCCCUAGUGGCCUUGCAAUUAAGAACCUGGCCUUGUCACUGCUGUGGCACAGGUUCGAUCCCUGGACCAAGAAAUUCUACAUGGACGCAGCCAAAAGACAAACUGACUUUGAUGGAAGGGUAAAGGCAGAAAACCUUCCCUUUUAGGGUCAAGGGUUGCAGAUUCUGCUGCUCUGAUGCGAAAUCCAAAACAACAGUAACGAUGAAGGAUCUCAGUCUAUUAUCCACCAGCAGACCUACAGGCCCAUCACAUUCUCACCCUCGAGCUCAUGAAGUUCUGCCUCCCCCCUAGGUGCCCCUUGCAUGACCACACCCUCUAAUCCUGACAGGCUGCCACUUAUAAAGUGAUGACAACCGUCCUGAGGUGAUCAAAGGUGGCAGAAGGGCGUUUCUCCACCUCAGAAGAAAACUGAAAAUAAGCAAUGGCUUUAUAAUGCUGAGAACAUUCCUAAAACUGAAGAAGAAUCUUUAAAUCCCCCCAUUCCCCAGAGGGUUUUGCAUAUAGGCCAAUCAGGUCAUCAAAGUGUAUGCAAACUUGAAGAGAAAAUGGAAUAAGAAUGUGUUUUAAGGAGAAUCAGGCUUUGGAAAAAAAUGAGGUUUUUAAUGAAAAUAAAAAUCAUGACUCAAUACUUCUACCACAUGAGCACCUCAGGGCAUGUGGUGCUACCAACAUCGAAUGACUCAUGCCUGUUAGCCAACUGGGGGACAGGCAAGCCAAGCUGAUGGGCAGGAAAAGGCUACCUGGAAGCUAGGGUUCAGGGGCACCCCUGGAAGCUCAGAAGUGACAUGGGCCCCACAGCAAGGGUUCUCAAUCUGGAUCCUGGACACUCUGUAAGAUAUCUCUCACCACCAGAGUUCCCACUGUGGCUCAGCAGUAACAAACCUGACUAGAUUCCUCAGGAUGUGGGUUCGAUCCCUGGCCUCAGUCAGUGCGGUUAAGGAUCCAGCAUUGCUGUGAGCUACAGUGUAGGUCGCAGAUGUGUCUCGGAUCCUGCGUUGCUAUGGCUAUGGUGCAGGCUGGCAGCUGGCGCUGAUUCAACCCAUAGCCUGGGAACUUCCAUAUGACUGGCAAUGCUAGAUCUUUAACCACUAGCCACCAGGGAACUCUCUCUACUUCUUAUUUGCUAGGGAGUUUCCAUGGGUCCAGCAGGCUGGCCAAGGAUGGGGACACACCUGUGGAGGGGAAACAUUGAACUCUGCUUUCAUCUCUUCUUUUUCACCAAAAUCUUAAUUUUGCAAUACAAAUGCAAACUCCAAGCAAGACUGAAAUUCCAAGCUAUUUUAUUCCAUACACACAGGCGAUUUAAUUACAGUCUGAGUCAGUUCCAGGAAAAACCAGGAAACAGACAUUGAUCUUCAGAAUGCAUUUGAUUCCCUGUUGCCAGCCUCACUCCACCCCACGCCCCCAAAUCUACUCCCCUUUCCAGGCCUCACUACUCUUUUCCCUUCCUUGGAUAAUGUAGGUCUUUCUUUACAAUGACCUCUCCUUUUUAUUUACUUAUUCAUUUUUUGCUUUUUAGGGCUGGACGCACAGCAUUUGCAAGUUCCUAGGCUAGGAGUCGAAUCAGGGCUGUAGCUGUUGGCCUACGCCACAACCACAGCCACAGCAACUCGGGAUCCGAGCUGUGUCUGCAACCUACACCACAGCUCACAGCAACAGUGGAUCCCUGACUCACUGAGCGAGGCCAGGGAUCAAACCCACUUCUUCAUAAUUACUAGUUGGAUUCGAUUCCACUGAGCCACAAUGGGAACUCCCAUGAUCUCUCUUUUUUAAACUAAGAGCUGGCCCUCAGAGAGCUGGGGCCCAUAUAAGCGAUUGGAUGUUCUAAUGUCCUCUUUAUUUGUAAGCACCUAAUAACCUAGCGUCUCAAUUCAAAGGGCUGAACCCUUAGACUUGAGGCAUUAGAGAGAAGCCUGUGUGGCAUCAUUACCCAGCUUUCAAAGAAGACUUUCACCAUCAGACAGGGAGCACCUCUACACAGAGCCCUUAAGUCACACACAUGCGGGUAUGAGGGGUCUCCUUCAAAAAGGAUGAGAAUAGGCUUCCACCCUCCUGGAAUAGUAUUCUUAGCUAGACCACAUCUUCAACAGAAAAACAAAACCCACUGAGCUCAAGGGAGCUACAAACCUCCUAAAAAUCUACCUGCCCAUGGAUAAGAAACAAAACCAGCUAGAGAAUCAACAUCAAGUUCUCUUCCAGCAGCAAAUAUGCCACAGAUCAUUUUUUUUGGUUUGUUUUUUUUUUAAUUUGUUUUGGGUUUUUUUGACCAUGCCCACAGCAUGCUGAAGUUCCCGGGCCAGGGAUCGAACCCAUGCCACGGCAGUGACAACAUCAGAUUUUUCAACUACUAGGCCAUCAGGGAACUCCAACUCAAUCAUUUUUUCAAGCCUGGCACCUCUCCCCACAUGCUAUUACCUUGGUGUGGAGGCACAGGUGGGCUGAGCUAUGCCAAAGAACCUUGACAUUGAAGGCAAGAACUGAACACUAUCCAGGCACUAUUUUUACAGGAAAAGAGGGACCCUAGCCAUGUCAAGAAGACUGUCUGGGAUUCUGAGGGCCACUUAAAGGUGGGCAGUAGGGAGACGACCCAAAGCACCCGCCUCAGAUAACCUCAAAUGAGAAACAUGUCUAAAUCACAGCAGCAGGCAAAGGGGCAACCGGGAAAUGGCAUGUCCUAUGUGACAUGCAUCUCAGUGCCACAACUACACGCAACAUUGAUGACAUGCAACCAUGGCCAGCAGGACAAGUCUGCUUUGGCUCUCUAGGGGGCACAAGUCAAGAGACAUUGCUCUGUCAGAAAAUGAGAGGUUUUUGUUUUUUUUUUAAAAAAAAGAACAUGAUAUUGAAAUAUGGACAGAGAUUAGGGGGCCAGAGAGACUAGGAAAGUGGGUCAACGGAGACAGACCAAGGGGACAAAUAAAGAAACACAGUGAAUACUGGAAAAGGAAGGGUGUCUGAGUGUCUAAGAGGUACAAGUGCCCAGGGACCAACAACCGAACCAAUUUCUGUUUCUUUUGGUUCUAGUGAUAAUGAGGUUAAUGUUGUUGAUGUUUAUGAAAGCCAUAAAACCAAGGAUUUAGUCCUUUGAGCUCCUAUUCAUCUUUUCAUCUCAGUUAUUUACAGUGUAGUUAACCAAGUUAUCACGAUCAUUACUUGACUUCACAAUGCAUCUUCAUAUUAGUUACAGUUUACAUCCUAAGAAGCCCCAUCUAACAGGCCACGGUCAUGAGAACAGGCACAGCUGGAUCCAAGGACCUGGUUCAACUUGGGGCUCGAGUCAAUAGCCAUGGGCCGAGGCUGGGACCCACAGACAUGGCCAGCUGGUCAGCAAAUUUCACCAGCCAUUUCUGUCCCUCAUUCCCCAAGAGGAAAGGUAGACUCCGCGACUGUCAAGUUCACAGCCCUCCCUACCACACGCUUGGAAAGAGUGUUCCCUGAGGACAGACACAGAUGUGAAGUUUGUCCUCUGACUGUGCAGGGACAGCUCCCAGAGACCUACUGUUCUUCCCAUGCUCAGCAUAGGCAGGCUUUCUCCUCCGGAAGAGUCUCUCACGUGCCUGUCUCUAAUUCCCCAAAAGUGGGCCAUCUUUGCCAGGUGGCAGGGCUCCGGUCGAAUAAAUGGAUGCUGGUCUCUGGUUAGAAGUCAUGCCAGGGGGCUGCCAUCGGACACAUGUCUUUGGACGGUGUCUGGUCCAGCUGACACCCCUCAGCCCCAGCGCAGGGCAGCUGCUGAAGGUUCCUCACAGGUACUGUCUUCUCUGCGGAACCCCGUGGAAGCCAGGUGACCAACUGUGCCUUGCAGGCCACCCCUGUAGUCAGGGAACCUUAUCUUGCCAUUUGGAGGUAGGGACAAUGAGGCCACGGUGGGGGCGGACCCGAUGGAGGUGCUGGCUCUUAUCCUUGACAGGUUCAGGUUACGAGCAUGUCCAAGCAGCAGGCUGGUCCCAGCUGCCAUUGCGGGGGGGACGCUGGGUUAGUUGACAUCACAAUCCUUCUGCUGCCUCCCAGUGGAUUCGCUGGCUUUCUGGCUCUAACCACACAUACACACACAUUUACCACACUUGGCUCUCACAGACUGGAAGGACAGAUGCUCGUCCUGAGCAAAGGGGCCGACCUGCAGAAAGGUUAAUUUUAAAUAAAGCACACCCAGGAAGGGAGGAGGAAGGCGCUUCUGGGGAGGGAGAGGGAGGGGGCAUUCGUCAUCAACCAAGGUCAUCAGGAAAGGUCACACCAAGAGGAUUCGAAAGGCGGUCCUUUCAAAACACGGGAGGGGAAGCAUUCACAGGAGGAGCGUCACCAGCCCUUUUCCAACGUCCGCAUGUCUGCUUGGAAACCAUCUUAAAGGAAAGCCAAAAAGAAAGGAAAGGCAAAGAGCAAAGGAAACCUAGAGAAGGUCCAGCCAAGAAAAGGGAAGCAGCAGCAGCAAAUGGUGAGGGGAGGGUGCUUCUUUUGCAGUGGUGGUUUGGGAAGCAUGUCAGCGGGACCACCAGCCCGGGCAUGCGGGGCUCCACGAAUCAGGGGGAGGGUGCAAACGUGAGGGGCUCAGGCUAAAUGCCAGCGCUGAGUGUGGUGCUUUAUGACCUUAUCUCCAUCAGCAAGUGUCCAGCCUUUUCCAGCCUAGCCUGUCAUGGACAUCGCAGCCUAGCCAAGGGUACACCGAAACCCUAUGGGUCUCAGGGCCACACCUGCUUCGCCCUAGUCCUGGGUGGCACCGGGGCCAUACUUCCAAACUCAUGGGAAGCCCUUGGCACAGGGAUAAAGGUUGCAAGAAGGAAAAGAAAGAGAACG